AAGUCGUAACAAGGUUUCCGUAGGUGAACCUGCGGAAGGAUCAUUAACGAGUUAGGGUCUUCCAGGCCCGACCUCCCAACCCUUUGUUUACAGAACCUCUGUUGCUUCGGCGGACCCGUCUCACGACCGCCGGAGGACCGCCGAGAGGCGUCCUCUGGUCAGUGUCCGUCGAUAGCCCAACUUAAACCCUGAAUGAAUCGUGUCGUAUGUCUAAGUCUAAGAUUAAAUAAAGCAAAACUUUCAACAACGGAUCUCUUGGUUCUGGCAUCGAUGAAGAACGCAGCGAAAUGCGAUAAGUAAUGCGAAUUGCAGAAUUUCAGUGAGUCAUCGAAUCUUUGAACGCACAUUGCGCCCUUUGGUAUUCCGAAGGGCAUGCCUGUUCGAGCGUCAUUAUCACCCCUCAAGCCCUGUGCUUGGUGUUGGACGGCUGGUCGCGCGAGUGACCCCUCCCAAAGACAACGACGGCGGCCUGUGGUUCCCCCGGUACACUGAGCUUUUCAUCGAGCACGUGUCGGAUAAGGGCGCCCGGGACACGGUCCUGUCCUCUCACGAGGAAAUUUUAUCAAGGUUGACCUCGGAUCAGGUAGGAAUACGCGCUGAACUUAAGCAUAUCAAUAAGCGCAGGAAAAGAAACCAACAGGGAUUGCCUCAGUAACGGCGAGUGAAGCGGCAAUAGCUCAAAUUUGAAAUCUGGCCUCUUGAGGUCCGAGUUGUAAUUUGUAGAGGAUGUUUUGGGUACCGCCCCGGUUUAAAUUUCUUGGAACAGAAUGUCAGAGAGGGUGAGAAUCCCGUCUUGGACCGGCGUAGGGCCUGUGUAAAACUCCUUCGACGAGUCGAGUUGUUUGGGAAUGCAGCUCAAAAUGGGUGGUAAAUUUCAUCUAAAGCUAAAUAUUGGCCAGAGACCGAUAGCGCACAAGUAGAGUGAUCGAAAGAUGAAAAGCACUUUGAAAAGAGAGUUAAACAGUAUGUGAAAUUGUUGAAAGGGAAGCGCUGGCGACCAGACUUGAGCGCGACGGUUCCCCCAGCCUUUUGGCUGGGCUACUCCGUCGUGUCCAGGCCAACAUCGGUUCGGAGGGUCGGUUAAAGGCUCUGGGAAUGUACCUACUCACGGGUAGACUUAUAGACCAGGGUGUCAUGCGACCUCUCGGGACCGAGGAACGCGCUUCGGCUCGGAUGUUGGCGUAAUGGUUGUCAGCGACC
rnacentral:rRNA from 1 species